GCCUACGGGGGGCAGCAGUAGGGAAUUUUCGCCAAUGGGCGCAAGCCUGAACGAGCAAUGCCGCGUGAACGAGGAAGGUCUUCGGAUCGUAAAGUUCUGCUGAAGGGGAAAAAGAGCGGAGAGAGGAAAUGGUCUCCGAUUGAUAUUACCCUUCGAGGAAGUCACGGCUAACUACGUGCCAGCAGCCGCGGUAAUACGUAGGUGGCGAGCGUUAUCCGGAAUGAUUGGGCGUAAAAGGUGCGUAGGCGGCCUGCUAAGUCUGGAGUGAAAGGUACCGGCUCAACCGGUACAGGCUCUGGAAACUG
rnacentral:rRNA from 1 species